GACAGAGGGUGCAAACGUUGCUCGGAAUUACUGGGCGUAAAGCGCGUGUAGGCGGCCCGGUAAGUCCGCUGUGAAAGUCCAGGGCUCAACCCUGGGAUGCCGGUGGAUACUGUCGGGCUCGAGUCCGGAAGAGGCGAGUGGAAUUCCUGGUGUAGCGGUGAAAUGCGCAGAUAUCGGGAGGAACACCGGUGGCGAAGGCGGUUCUCUGGGCCUGUACUGACGCUGAGGAGCGAAAGCGUGGGGAGCGAACAGG
rnacentral:rRNA from 1 species